AGCUUGGACCAGGUUGCAGCAUUUAACGGACUUUUCUAGGUUUCCAGAGUAAUAGACUGAUGUCUACAGUGAGGGAUGCACAGCUCGUUCCUCUCACACCCUCGGGUGUCCGCCCCUCGCAAAGACUCGGGAUUGGAACCUACGAAGGCUUCCCAAAUGCUGACCCAGCCCUGCACCAAGCCGGCCCUGCACCAAGCCGGCUGCCAGAACCUCCCAGGAGCCGGUUUCGAUAGAGAGGCGUCGCUGUGCCGCAGAAGAACCAGCACAGUUUUGGGCCGCACCCAUGGCAGGUGGAAGCUCCCGGGUCGGGGGCUGAACCCAUGCACAGCAGGGACAACCGUAUUUUGGAAAAGGACAGCAUCCUUUCCUAGGCUGCCCAGAAGCCACAGGUGGUUCUCCAGGCUGCGUCUGACCUGCACGUCCUGAAUUUCGUGGUGUUGUCCUGAGUCGGAGGGACGUUUUACAGGUAGGAGCCCAGCUGUGACGUGCCGGCUGCUCCCUGUGGCGACGUACUUCUGCCAGCAGCCCUGUCUUCCGGUGAGUGACCCAGGGGCCGUCCUGCUGCUGGAUCGGCAUCCGGGGGCGUCCACACCGCCAAGGGGAGACUGGGCCCAUGGGGACAGGAGGGCGGGCGGGCUUGGCCACCUGUCCAGACAGGAUUCUCUUCGAAAGCCUGGACAUGCAGGGUCUCUGCGUUCACCUGCACAUAGUAGGCCUUCUCUGACUUGCCGCUGCCGCCCUGUUCCAGGUAAUAAGAGCCUUUGCCUUAAGGGGAAACAGGUCCUAUUUUCCCUCCUUCGCGGCACCCUCCUAAGCGUGAAUGAGUGACUCAAGCAGCUCACACAGUCUGAGGACCUUUCCAGUGGUCAGGCCGGAGUCUCGAUGCUAUAGCUGCUUAAAUUUUCUUAAAGACCGAUUCUUGGGAUUUUAGCUAGCUGCCGAUUUUUCUCAAACAUUUUCUUUUUUAGAGCAAUUUUAGGUUCAUGGUGAAACUGAAGGGAGGUGCAGAGGUUUCCCAUAUGCCCCUGCCCCCAGCCUCCCCACCAUCAACGACCCCACCGGAUGGGGCGUCUGUGACAACGGAGGAGCUCCCUGGACGCGUCCUCGUCCCUGCAGUGCGUGGUCUGCGCUGUGCUCCCCUCCCAGUGCUGAGCGUCCUGUGGUUUGGACAAACAUGCACUGACAGGCACCCCCCGCGUCACAUGGAGUCGUCUUGUGGCCCACGAAUCCUCUGAGCUCUGCCUGGUCACCUCUCCCUCCCUGCUACCUGCUGGAGACCCUGGGCUUUUCCUGCCUCCAUAGUUUUUCUGUAAUGUCACAGUGUGGGAGCCACACUCUGGAGCCGGGGGUUCUCUCACUUAGCAGUGGCAUUCAAGCUCCUAUGUGCUUUUCUAUGACCUGAUAGCUCGAUUCUUUUUAGCGCUGAAUGAUAUUCCGUCAUCUGGGUGGACCACAAUUUAUUUAUCCAUCACCUCCUGGAGGACAUCUUGGCUGCUUCCACGUUUUGGCAGUUUAGGAAUGAAGUUCCUGUAAAUGUUCACACAGGGUUUUGUGUAGAUGGAAGUUUUCACCUCCUUUGGGGCAAUACCAGGGGGUUGAUGCCUGGGUCCAAGAUGAGACUCCUGUGAGUUGCACUGGAAACUGCCAGACUGUCUUCCAGGGGGCUGGGCCCCGCUUCGUUCCCACCAGCAGUGAAGGAGGGCUCCUCUCACCCUGCAUCCUCACCGGCGUCUGCGUCUCGGUGAUCCGGAUUCUGGCCCCCUAACGGGUGCGGUGGUGUCUCACGGUCAUUGUGACGUGCCUUUCCCUGACGACGGCGGAGGUGGAGCCUCUCUUCAUGUGCUCGUUGCACGUCUGCAUCUCGUCUUUGAUGAGGUGUCUGUUAAGUUGUUUGGCCCAUGUGUUAAUUGGCUUGUUUUCUUUUUCAGAGUUUUUUGUAUAUUUUGGAUAAUAGUCCUUUUUGCAAAGAUUUUUCUCCCAGUCUAUGGCUGUCUUCCCGUUUUGUUGACACUGUCUUUCACGGAGCAGAAAUUCUUAGUUUUAAUGAAAGCCGGCUUCUCACCUGUGUCUUUUAUAGAUCAUCUAGGUUUUCUCUUAUCUUUUGGGAGGUUUAUAAUUUUCAUUUUGCAUCUAGGUCUGUGAUCCUUUUUGAGUUCAUUUUUGUAAAGACGGAAGGCUGUGUCUAGAUGCACUUUUUUGCACGUGGACAACAGUUGUUCAGCAUGUUUGUUGAAAAGACCGUCUUUGCUCCAUUGUGUUGUCUUUGCUCCUUUGUCAGAGAUCAGUUGCCUGUAUGUACACGGGUCUAUUUCUGGGCUCUCCACUCUGCUCCAUUGAUCACUUGAGCUUCUUUCACCAACGCCACACCGUCUUGAUGACUGUCGCUUUAGGGGAAGUCUUGAGGUUGGGUCGUGUCAGCUCUCCAACUUUGUUCUCUUUCGAUACUGUGCCCACUAAUGCUUUUUUAGAAACUUACUUUUGAAAUGAAAUGAACUGAGAUACAGAGAAAUACAACUUUGAAUCAUAAGAGACCAACAGUACCCUGGGCAUUUUAAUUUCAGGAGUAUUUUCCUGGAACUCAUUCCAGAAAUAGACAAAGAAAGGGGGGAAAGCUAAGGAAGGAUUUAUGUGCAUUUUUUCCCUCCUUGGUAAGUCCUGUGUUUCAACUCCCACUUGUCACACUGAACCACAUUAUCUGAUACUGAUACUUGAAAAUCAAGAAUCAUGCAUUCACAUAUAAAUGCAAAGUUAUUUUCUUAGAAAUUCAAGGAGCAAAUCAGCUGUCAAUAAGCUUUUAGAAGGAGAGUCAAGGAUUGCUAAGAAUGUGCGUAUGAGAGAGCCUUUCUAGUAAUAUUUGAGACCCUUUUUGCAACACCUGUUCUAAACUAAAUAAAACAUUGUAUGAAGCCUCUGGAGCA
ensembl:lncRNA